CACGGAGUUAGCCGGUGCUUCCUCUGAAGGUACCGUCAGCCUCGAGCACUAUUCGCACUCCAGGUCUUCGUCCCCUCUGACAGCGGUUUACACUCCGAAAAGCGUCGUCCCGCACGCGGCGUCGCUGGGUCAGCCUUCCGGCCAUUGCCCAAUAUUCCCCA
rnacentral:rRNA from 1 species